GAUGAACGCUGGCGGCGUGCCUAAUACAUGCAAGUCGAGCGAACAGACGAGGAGCUUGCUCCUCUGACGUUAGCGGCGGACGGGUGAGUAACACGUGGAUAACCUACCUAUAAGACUGGGAUAACUUCGGGAAACCGGAGCUAAUACCGGAUAACAUGUUGAACCGCAUGGUUCAACAGUGAAAGACGGUUUUGCUGUCACUUAUAGAUGGAUCCGCGUCGCAUUAGCUAGUUGGUAAGGUGACGGCUUACCAAGGCAACGAUGCGUAGCCGACCUGAGAGGGUGAUCGGCCACACUGGAACUGAGACACGGUCCAGACUCCUACGGGAGGCAGCAGUAGGGAAUCUUCCGCAAUGGGCGAAAGCCUGACGGAGCAACGCCGCGUGAGUGAAGAAGGUCUUCGGAUCGUAAAACUCUGUUAUUAGGGAAGAACAAAUGUGUAAGUAACUAUGCACGUCUUGACGGUACCUAAUCAGAAAGCCACGGCUAACUACGUG
rnacentral:rRNA from 1 species